GACGAACGCUGGCGGCGUGCUUAACACAUGCAAGUCGAACGGAAAGGCCCUGCUUUUGUGGGGUGCUUGAGUGGCGAACGGGUGAGUAACACGUGAGUAACCUGCCCUUGACUUUGGGAUAACUUCAGGAAACUGGGGCUAAUACCGGAUAGGAGCUCCUGCUGCAUGGUGGGGGUUGGAAAGUUUCGGCGGUUGGGGAUGGACUCGCGGCUCAUCAGCUUGUUGGUGGGGUAGUGGCUUACCAAGGCUUUGACGGGUAGCCGGCCUGAGAGGGUGACCGGCCACAUUGGGGCUGAGAUACGGCCCAGACUCCUACGGGAGGCAGCAGUGGGGAAUAUUGCACAAUGGGCGGAAGCCUGAUGCAGCAACGCCGCGUGCGGGAUGACGGCCUUCGGGUUGUAAACCGCUUUCGCCUGUGACGAAGCGUGAGUGACGGUAAUGGGUAAAGAAGCACCGGCUAACUACGUG
rnacentral:rRNA from 1 species